ACACGUAUGAAAGACAAGCUGAAAGACUUUUCUCAAUGAUGUAAGUGGUGGUGCAUGGUCGUUCUUAGUUCGUGGAUUGAUUUGUCUGGUCUAUUCCGAUAACGAGCGAGACCCCUACGUUCCUAAUAGGGGCGGCAGCCCGGCUUACCCUCUCGGGGGUCUGCUAGCAGCCGCCUAAUUAGCUUCUUAGACGUAUCAGAGCCGAUAAGGUUCUUGAAAUGGGUUAAUAACAGGUCAGUCAUGCCCUUAGAUGUUCUGGGCCGCACGCGCGUUACAAUGGUAUACAUUAGAACGUGCUCUUCGGGCUUUUCCGCGGCCUACUGGCCGCGGUAAUCCCUAGUCUCUCCCUUGACUGGGCCAGACUAUUGCAAUUAUUGGUCUCCAACGAGGAAUUUUUAGUAGUCGCAGGUCAUUAACCUGCGACGA
rnacentral:rRNA from 2 species